UACAGAGGUCCCAAGCGUUGUUCGGAUUCACUGGGCGUAAAGGGUGCGUAGGUGGUGAGGUAAGUCGGAUGUGAAAGCUCCGAGCUCAACUCGGAAAUGGCAUUGGAAACUACCUUGCUCGAGGGUUUGAGGGGGGACUGGAAUACUUGGUGUAGCAGUGAAAUGCGUAGAUAUCAAGUAGAACACCAGUGGCGAAGGCGAGUCCCUGGAAAACUCCUGACACUGAGGCACGAAAGCGUGGGGAGCAAACAGG
rnacentral:rRNA from 1 species